rnacentral:rRNA from 1 species
CAGUAGCCGCGGUAAUACGUAGGUCCCGAGCGUUGUCCGGAUUUAUUGGGCGUAAAGCGAGCGGAGGCGGUUAGAUAAGUCUGAAGUUAAAGGCUGUGGCCUAACCAUAGUACGCUUUGGAAACUGUUUAACUUGAGUGCAAGAGGGGAGAGUGGAAUUCCAUGUGUAGCGGUGAAAUGCGUAGAUAUAUGGAGGAACACCGGUGGCGAAAGCGGCUCUCUGGCUUGUAACUGACGCUGAGGCUCGAAAGCGUGGGGAGCAAACAGGAUUAGAUACCCGAGUAGUCCCUGUCUCUUAUACA